AGAAAUGUAGCUCUGUGGCAGAGCAUCUGUUUUGCAUGCAGAAGAUUUAGGCUCAGUCCCUGGCAUCUCCA